AUCCUUUUUUUGGUUCAUAAGCGAGAUGAUUGUGAAUUAUCGCCAAUGCGUGAUGUGUGCUGCCCACUAAGCCUUGUGACGGCAUUGGCAUAUUACCCAUCUGACG